GACGAACGCUGGCGGCGUGCUUAACACAUGCAAGUCGAACGGAGAGGCCCUGCUUUUGUGGGGUGCUCGAGUGGCGAACGGGUGAGUAACACGUGAGUAACCUGCCCUUGACUUUGGGAUAACUUCAGGAAACUGGGGCUAAUACCGGAUAGGAGCUCCUGCUGCAUGGUGGGGGUUGGAAAGUUUCGGCGGUUGGGGAUGGACUCGCGGCUUAUCAGCUUGUUGGUGGGGUAGUGGCUUACCAAGGCUUUGACGGGUAGCCGGCCUGAGAGGGUGACCGGCCACAUUGGGACUGAGAUACGGCCCAGACUCCUACGGGAGGCAGCAGUGGGGAAUAUUGCACAAUGGGCGGAAGCCUGAUGCAGCAACGCCGCGUGCGGGAUGACGGCCUUCGGGUGGGAAACCGCUUUCGCCUGUGACGAAGCGUGAGUGACGGUAAUGGGGAAAGAAGCACCGGCUAACUACGU
rnacentral:rRNA from 1 species